UUUUCAUAUUACAUUAAGCGGAGGAAAAGAAACCAACUGGGAUUACCUUAGUAACGGCGAGUGAAGCGGUAAAAGCUCAAAUUUGAAAUCUGGUACUUUCAGUGCCCGAGUUGUAAUUUGUAGAAUUUGUCUUUGAUUAGGUCCUUGUCUAUGUUCCUUGGAACAGGACGUCAUAGAGGGUGAGAAUCCCGUUUGGCGAGGAUACCUUUUCUCUGUAAGACUUUUUCGAAGAGUCGAGUUGUUUGGGAAUGCAGCUCAAAGUGGGUGGUAAAUUCCAUCUAAAGCUAAAUAUUGGCGAGAGACCGAUAGCGAACAAGUACAGUGAUGGAAAGAUGAAAAGAACUUUGAAAAGAGAGUGAAAAAGUACGUGAAAUUGUUGAAAGGGAAGGGCAUUUGAUCAGACAUGGUGUUUUUUGCAUGCACUCGCCUCUCGUGGGCUUGGGCCUCUCAAAAAUUUCACUGGGCCAACAUCAAUUCUGGCAGUAGGAUAAAUCAUUAAGAAUGUAGCUACCUCGGUAGUGUUAUAGCUUAUUGGAAUACUACUAGCUGGGAUUGAGGACUGCGCUUCGGCAAGGAUGUUGGCAUAAUGGUUAAAUGCCG
rnacentral:rRNA from 1 species